ACCUAGCCAACUGCCCCAGUCACGGGCGCGGCGCCCUGCUGCGCCCCGCGGCCCUCGCUGGGAGCGGGCCUAGCGCGCUCGCCUUCCCCCUCCGCGAGCCGGGGUCCCGCGCUUGAGGAGUCGCUGGCCGUGGUCGCCGCUAGGUAGAAUAUUUCUACGUCUUGAAAGGAAGAUAAAGCAAAAAUCUUCUUUGGAAUAGAUGGAUUUUUGUCACUUUCUGUGAACUAAAGCGAUUCAAUGUCUCUUCUGGAUUGUUUCUGUACUUCACGAACACAAGUUGAAUCACUCAGACCUGAAAAACAGUCUGAAACCAGUAUCCAUCAAUACUUGGUAAGAAAGUGGUUGAGUAUAAUUAAUGUACCUCCUUUGCCUUCUGUAAAAUCAUUCUCUCCUGAUUCUCUUGUAGCUCUUUUUCUUUCUGGUGUCUCUUAUUGUUUCUUCUUGCACCUAUUACUGUCUAAGAGUCUAAAAUUGACUUCUCUUUCUAAACCAGCUCUCCUUAAACAGCUUCUCCUGUUCCUUUGAUAUUACUUGUUCAGAUUUGAGAUUGUGCUGAAGCUACCUCAGGUGUCCUGAGAGAACUCUGGCAUCAAGAUAAUCACCUGAUUUUUCUCUUUCUUGGGCACUAGACAUGUUGAUAGAAUAUAUCUGAUUAGAUUUCUCAAAGGUACCUAUACCGAGUUUGAGUGAAACUUUAGUCAUCUCUGAAAGCUCACCAAACCAUUGUAU